GACAGAGGGUGCAAACGUUGUUCGGAAUUACUGGGCGUAAAGCGCGUGUAGGCUGCUCGGAAAGUCGGAUGUGAAAGCCCCGGGCUUAACCUGGGAAUGGCCAUGGAAACUGGCGAGCUGGAGUGUGGCAGAGGGGGGUGGAAUUCCGCGUGUAGCAGUGAAAUGCGUAGAGAUGCGGAGGAACACCGAUGGCGAAGGCAGCCCCCUGGGUUGACACUGACGCUCAGGCACGAAAGCGUGGGGAGCAAACAGG
rnacentral:rRNA from 1 species